AUUCACUUGUUUCUUCUCAUUCUCAUGUUAGGAUCGCCACAGGCAAAACUGUAAAGGAAGAGAAGUUUGGCUUCAGGGCUGAGACCACCACACAUUUCCACCUCUGAAGUCCUAGACCCCCGGGCUCUAGGGCAGUACUCUCUCACGGAGCUUUCAGGCUACCUCUAAGUGUGCAGGAAGAAACCAACCUGAAAUCCGGAUCAUCCUGAGUCUUUGGAGUGCUCUUCUUCCCGCUUUGAAAUGAGAAGCUGGAGAAGGCAAUAUUUAAUCCCCAGGAUGAACAGCUUGGAAGGUCCCCUGUGGGUCCCCUGGGUCAGGGCAGAGAUGUUUUGGCAAGGGAGAUGGUGCGUGGGGACCAGGUUAGCUACAGGGGUGUCCUCCCUCCCUGGAGGAUGGGUCUUCUUUAAAGGCCCCCAAAUUUCACCAGUAAGCAAGCACUAAUGUGGAAAGGCCCCAUCUCUCCACCUCUCCGCUCCCCCAGACCACAGUGGCAGGGCCAGAACUACAGUGGAGACAGCAAGUCCCCACCCACUUCCAGUGGAGGCCAGCCUCUGCGAAGGAGGAGAGGUCAAUGCCUUCUCUGGUCCUGGGAGCUUCACCAGCUCUGGUGUCCUCACUGAUCUAAACCGGACUUCCACCUUGAGGGCAGUGCCCAGGAUUCAGUUAGGAGGGCGUCUUCUGUCUUGUGUUGAUACAAUUACCUCAGUUUGGGAAGAGAGCUUUUGAUGAGACAAGUGUGCAACAGAGAAAGUGUGUGUGUGUGUGUGUGUGUGUGUGUGUGUGUGUGUGUGUGUGUGCACGCGCACUCGCGCAUGCCAGCAGAGAUACAAGGCGAACCUCUGGGAUGGAGACUGGGGAGUGUGACGAGGUGGCCAUUGGCUUUCCGGAACAGCAGACUCCCCCUUCCUGGGAAAGUCAGGUCAGCCCCCCCACCCCCAAUCUGUGGCGCAAGGCCUGAGCCCGAGCAGAAGCUCCGCCCCCUAGCUCAGAGACAGACACACAAAAGUGGAAGAACCAGAGCCCCGUCCAAGGCAAUCUGUAAUUAAGAACUCAAUUGUGCAAGGCUGAGGUGGCUGGCGGCAGUUAAGAGGGGAGGAGAGCAGUGUGGGCUGGCCAUCAGCCCGCAGUGUGAGGAGCUGUGGGCUGGGGGACUUAAUGAGGAUGGGAGGAGGGAAAUGUUGAGGGGCGCAGAGUCACAGGGUAGAAGGCUCCGCUCCACUGUCUCCAGGCAGUGGGAUCCGUCUGAUUCUCCACGCCUGGUUUUCCCAGUCUGCUAAGGAGACAAUAAUUCCUGUGCUCCACGGUAGUAAAGCAGAAAGAUAAUGGCUGUAAAUGCCUGGCAGGUGCUGUGCCUGUCAUCAGAGAGUAGUAAAGUCCAAAGCCUCUGGAACCGAUGGACCUGGAGAUAAGGUGGAAUAACAGACUGAAAGAGGAAAGCUGUGUCCAGGCGCCACACGCAGGGGGAGCCUGGAGCCUCCUGGGACAGAGGUCCUCCUGACAGUCCCAGUGAACCAGAAGCAAGGCCACCAGCUCUACCCGGGCUGCGGUGGCCUGUGUUCAACACUGCUGCCGGGAGGCAUGGCCUCCGAGCCAGCAAACCAGGAAUCGAGGACUGUACCCAUGAGAAGGCCCCUGGGCUGUUACCCUGGACCCUCAGGGUGAGCUCCAUGUUUCACGAGGGCUGCUGAGCAACAGGCCUCAGUGUGAGACCAUUGACAAUGUUCAGCUCACUUCCCCUUGUUCCUGGUGUCCCACUCAAGGCCCUCAGAACUUCGAGGGAAUGACAUCGAGGAAGAAUCACUUCCCGACACUUCUGCAUUUGAUUUGAAGAGUUGUGUUUUGAUCUUCUCAGGUGUUUCUUAAAACCAAGUUCUCACUUCUCAUAUGACUCAUCGGUCACAUUCAAGAAACAAGACUGCUUAUUGCAUAUAAUUCCAACAAGACAACCCAAAAUCAAUGCACAGAGGCUGCAGCUGCCAUAAAUAUGAGACUUAUGCAUAAGGUCUGCGAAGACACGAGGGAUUGCUCUUGGGAUUGCUGUUGGCUUUUCAAAGAUGGUACAUCACCUCUGCUCACAUCUUGAAAACAGAAAUUUAGUGGAGAACCUGGUUGCUACUUGAUACAAGAGUGUGAAUGUCACAGCAUCACCAAUCAAUAUUAUUAACAAAAAUAUUUAACCUGAAUCUGAGGCUUAACUUCCUGUUCCCAAUAUAUACCAAUUAUGAAGGUACAAGUUGAAUGUUUCUGGGUUCCAAUAAUUGGACAAGUUCAGACUGUGGGGAGGACUGGCAGAAACCAUGGCUGGCUACACAGCAGCUGCCUCCUGCCCACUUGUUCCUUGUCUGAAUCCCUGUAGAGCAACUGAGAAGGCUGAGACCCAAUUCCCCAGCCUCCUGUGCAGCUAAGGGUGCUGUUUUAGUCAGUUUUUUUUCACUGCUGUGACUAAAGGAUCUAACCAGAACAAGUGUAGUGGAGGAAAAGUUUAUUUCAGGGCUCGCAGUUUUAGAGGUCCAUAUAAGGCUGGCUCCAUUUCUCAAGGCUCUGAAUGAAGCUAAACAUCAUGGCUGGAGAGAAUGUGGCACAGGGAAGCAGCUCAUAUCAUGGUGAUCAAGAAGCAUAGAGUCCAAUGUCCUCCUAUGAUCCCAGCAGCGAUCAAGAACCAUUCAAGAAGAAUCAAGCUUGCAUAUGUGCUUGCUUUCUUGUUCCAACUUUUAGUCCAUCCAAGCCAUCAUCCUAUUGGAAAGCAGCAGUUUGGUGGGCAAUUUGGCACCGUUUAUUUAAAAAUCAAUACUUGCAGGAAUUUAUACGGCAGAAGCAUUCACAGGAGCCCCCCCACCCCAUCACCAAAUGUGUGCACAAGAUUGUUAAAUAACAUCAUUUGUAACAGCAAAGAUCUAGAAGGAAUCCGAGUUUCAGUGGAAAGCUGGUUAAAUGAAUUAUGGAAUAGCCGCAUAAUGUAAUUCUCUGCUGCUACAGAAAAGAAUAAGGCUGAUUUGGAUGUGCUCAUAGGGAAAGUUCUCCAAGAUGUAUUGGUAAGUAGGGAAGGAAAUAAAAGGACCCAAGCAGUAAGUAUAAUAUGCUACCAUUUAUGUCUAAAAGGGAAAUUUUUUUUCUUUAUGUAUAUGCAUGUAAAAUUUCAAAAAUAAAACUGCUGAGAGAAGGAGGCUACAAGAGGACAGGGCUUGAGGGUGGAGGGAAACCCAUUUGCCACUGCCAAAAUCAUGGGUGGUUUUCAUUGUGGCUUGUGCAUUGUGGGCCAGUCCCAAGGUAUCAAGGGCAGGGCUGGUCGGAAUCCUGCUGAUGAGGUUUGGGCUUGCUGAUGUCUGGGGAGGGCAGGAAGGGUGAACAGCCUCCCUCUGUGGACUCGGAAUGGGGGUUGUCUGUGACACAGAGGUGGAUGGAAUGGAGUGGGACACAGGGGGUCGUGAUUGAAGGUCUGAGCUGAGAGCAUUCACCUGGGCCCCUGAGGUCUGAGAUCCGGGCUGGCUCUAGGAUGGGGGUCUCUUCGCAGUGUGUGGCUGUGUGGAGGGAAGAAGCUGUGCACCCCUCUCCCUGUGGAGGAGGAGAGCCCAACCUGGGAGGUUCUGGCAGGCAAUUCUCCGGAGAGGAAGAAAAGUGGUGCUCAACCCGGGAAACUGCUCUUCCAGUGAGUGAGCAGCAAGCCAUCUGAGGUCACCUUGCUAACACUGAAGGAGAAAGAGGGACCAGUCGGCCUCCAUGGAGCAAAAACAAGACAUGCAGUUGAGUCCUGCUGGCUUUUCCAGGGCAGCACAGUGUCGCCAGUCCGGGAACUGGGUUGUCUGAGCUCAAGCCACAGCCGUGUGAGUGGCACACCUGGCAAGAUAUUUAAAUGCAAGUUUUUGCUAUUAAAAAAUGGGAGAAUAAUAAUACCUCUGUAAAAGCACCUACUCAUAGGGACUUGUCCUGGUACACAUUAAUUGUUAACUUGUUUUUACUUAUUUAUUUGUAAUUUCAGCCCAGCUGGGGGCUUGGACAGUGGUAUGAUCAGCACAUAGAGACUGAAUCUGUGUCUGAGGUGGAAGCACAUUAACCAAACCCACAAACCCAAUAAAUGAGCUGCCCAUGAGUGUUGCUAAGUCCAUUGAGAUCCCUGCUCUGCAGAGCACAGACCGUGCUCAGAGGCCCCUUGCAGGACAGGAUCACUUCUGCAUUCUUGCUUAUGUCCUUAUGUCCAGGGCCAUUCCUGCUACUCGCCUAAGACGUGUUGGUCUAGCAGGAUCCCAGUUCAUGAAUAUUUGCCGAAUGAGAAAAUGGUUACUGUGGUGCUCUCUGCAACAGCAAGACUGGAAACAAUCUAAAUGUGGAACAGCAGAGAGCACGUUAUUAGAUUGUGGUUCCAUCACCUCACAAAACAGAAGAAUCACGGCAAAGGACAAUUAAAAUGGUGAUAUAGGAAGGUGGAGAAAUGCUUGUGAUGUAAUUUUAGAAAAACAAAAGAAAUCAAAAUGGUCGGGCCGUAAGAUGUAUCUCUGUUUAUGACAUUUUGAGUGAUAAAGCAAAGUUCAGAGGAGGGUAUGUGAUGUCACCAUCAGUAUAAAAGAGAGCAAAGGAUUUAAGAAUCCACUUGCAGCUAUAAGCAUAUGCCACCUCUGACAGAUUCACAAAAGACCAAAAAUGUUGGUGUCCUCUAGGCAGGGGACAGGGUGGUGACAGCAGGGAGACACAACCCUGAUAAUACUUCUGCCUUCUCAAUGUUGAACCAAGCAGAUGUGUUUCUGAUUUUAAAAUCAAAUAAUUGAAAAUGCCUUCUGGUUUUAAAACAAAUGUUUCUCUCUUCUCUGUUCCUUAAGUCUAAGAAUCAUGUCCUGCCCCCACCCUCAAAUUUUAAGGUUUUUUGCUGUCAAUAGUCAUUCUUAAUAGGCUGUGGUAGCUCUCUCUGGAGUUUUUCCUCCCCCUAAAAAGCUUUUACUAAAUUGAGGCUGAGUCUUCAAAUAGGUGGUAUUUUAGAAUCAAGGAAACAUUUUAGAUUAAAAAAAGGGGGGCGUGUGAAAACCACUGUGUGGGGCAACUGGGCCAUCUUUCUUUUUCAAAAUGAUCUUCACUGUUAUGUUUGUAUCAUUUCUUCAGUUUUUCCUUGAAAUGUAACUUAGACCGUUGCAGGGGUCCAUCAACAGUUUGGGAAGAGUUCCCUAGCCCUAGGGAACAGAUGAUUGGCAACGCAGUAACCCCAUGAAAGUCCCCAUUUCCUCAGCUUAGUUUAGCUUAAAUAAUUGACCCCAAAGGCCCUGGCUCUAUGUUUUGUUGUGUUACAAGGAAAGACUCCAUGACCUUGGGUUUUUCAAGAGACACCAUCUUCUAGGAGUUGACUGAUCCAAAAUAAAGAAAUACGUGGCCACCAGGGAGUCUGUUCCAGCCAUUGGUUCACACCUGAGUUUGGUAGCAACUCUUGCUCUGAUGCACAAAACAAGUAUUGAGUUGGGAAUAUUGGUUCAGACAAGAGACUGCUAGUCAGAUUGUCAUGAGGGAAGCCCACUGAAUAUUGUGACCAAAAGGUAGCUUUGGAACAUUGAUUGUGGCUUCCAGAAGUUAGACAGUUCUGCAUAAGCUCUGUGGAUAAAGGACCUAUUGGUCAAAUGAAUGCAGUUCAGAAAUAUGCAGAUGAAGUUGGCCCAUGGUGGAGCAUGCCCACAAUCCAGUGACCUGCACAUGGGAGGCUAAGACAGGAGGGCUGCAAAUUCAAGGCUAGCCAGGACAACUCACCAAGGCCCUUUCUCAAAAUUAAAAAAAAAUAAGUAAAAGGUCUGAAAAUGUAGCAUCAUGUGAGAAGCCCUGGGUUUGAUUCCCAGGAAAACACACACACACACACACACACACACACACACACCCAGAAGAGCUAGGGAGAGAAAGACAAGCCCUUGGAGAGUCACCAUGCCAUCCUCAUAUUAAAGGCACUAAAAAGUUCUGUGUAGCAGUUUGCCUUGGUUUCUGUCUUAUCCUUUCUCCUUUUUCCUGGUUAAACAAAUCCUAAUUCUGUUUACAUUCUUGGGGCAGCUAUGUCCUUUAGGGAAAGCAGGCCCUGGAUGGAACAAGGGAGAUUUAAAAAGGGCAGAUAAACACAAUCCUGGCCAAUAAGAGAAGAAAUCUGCUGGGAGAUUAUGAGAAAGCUGUCUUUGUUCUUUGAAAACUGACUCACAAAAAUUCUGCAUCCAGUGAUGGCUGAGUAGCUCCCAUUGGGCCAAAACCUCCCACAUGACAAAAUUAUAAAACGCAAUUAUGAAAACACUUGAGAAAGAUGCAAACAGCAUGGAUACUGGGGAGAACACCAGGAGGAAGGGAAUAGCACAGGAUGUUUGUAUUUAUUUUUAUUUUCUUGGAGUUUUUUACCUAAGGAAAGCCACCAGUAAAGGUUAUGUGAAUGUUUAUAAGCCCACAGUAGUCCUGGCAUGAAAAACCAGAGGACAGAAUUCUAGUGACCACAAAGCUGGACAGUGAGACAGGAAACCCUGCAAAGAUGAAGUCACAAACAGGUAACUCCAGAUUCUGUGUCUAGACCCUGUACAUCACUGAACCCCACCUGUGUGGUAAGACUCCAAGCAGCACAGCCAAGUCUAGAAGAUCUAAAUUAAGAUUUCAGCUCCUAUCCAACAGAGGGGAGACAGCAUUUCCAGUUUGAGAAUUCAGCCAAGUUAACUGUCUGAUAAACAAACACAAAAAGCAGUAUAUUCAUUGGGAAAAUGAAAGGAAUCCAGAGUCCCUGAACUAAAUAGUCACAAUGUUCAGGAUACCAUCCAGAGGUGGUUGACAUGAAAAGAAACAGGAAAAUGGGACUCACAGAAAAGAGAAGCAGAAGUCAACGGAAACCAAGUUCAAGAUGGUCCAGAUGUAAGAAUUAAAUACAAAGACUUUAAAGCAACCAUUAUAACCACGUUCAAGAACAUAAAUGAAAAUAUGUUCAUAAAGAAUGAAAUGAUAGGAAAUCCAAGGGGAGAAUCAGCAACUAUAAAAAGACCACAAUGGAAAUUCUGGAACUAAGAAUGUGACAACUGAAAGAAAGAGACCAACAAGAAAAAAUAGCCCAUUUUUUCUUUGCCUUUACCACUAUCAGGAUGUGGUGCUUGUUUCGCCACAGUUACCUUCUGGUCAUGAGGACAGCUGGCCUAAGGAGGCCCAGGCACUAUGCCAUACAUGGCACAGCAAGACAAUGAACAGGACUUGAGUCCUUAAUGAUGUCAUCAAGCCACUAGAUUAACUGCCUGAGAGACUUCUCUGCUACCAGAUUUCUUGUAUUGAGAGAAAAAGAAAAUGUCUUUAUUUAAGCUAUUUCUGUUUGGGUUCUAUGUUACUUAUAUGAGAAAGAAAGCAUCAUAACCCUUGCCCCAAAGUUCACUAAAUGUAUGUCACCACAUCUUCUCCAAGGAAUAUCUAUUGACACACCCAGAAUGCUUAGUUCUGGUGUAGACCCUCGUUUCUAUCUUCUAAAUCUGCAUCAUUCAAGUUUAUCACCUGUAGAACAGCAAAGGCUACAGUCUAUUUUGACCAAAUUGGUGACUUGAAGUCUGCUGGGAAUGCAUUACCAGAAAGUUCAGGUUUGCAAAUUGCCGUUACUCAAAGUGUGAUGUGGGCAGCGUCAGCGUCUCAGCCCACCCCAGCCUACUGAAUCAGGGUCUGCACUUCAACAAGAUCCCAGGUGAGUCACGUGCACACAGGAGCUUGAGAAGACUCCUGAGAACUACAAGCGACAAUACAGGUGUUAGCUGUAUGUCACUAAUUAACAAAAAACUUCUUAAUCUGUUCUCAGAGACCUUCACAGAAUCAUUUCAUUUGGUUUUCACAGCAAUACUGAGAGAUUUUUAAAAAUCCAUUUAUAGACGAGGAAAUGAGAUUCAGAGAAGUAAAAUGACAUUUACAUGAUUAUGGAAAGACAGUGCUCUCCUUUGUUCUGAUACUGUGUCGUGGUUUUCAGUGAUUCAGGCCUUCGGUGUCCAAACUGGGAGGUAAGUUCUUAGCACCCCACUGACCGUCUUUUUGUAUUCUCUGUUAGGAUUGUGCCCUUUUGUCCCUGAGGAGCACAUGAGCAGCCCCUUCUGUCUGCUUACCAAGGGCCUCAGCCCCUGUGAUGGGCCAAGUUCACGGCUAUACCUAAUGAUAUACCUAAUGAUACAGCUAGUGACACAAGUGAGAAAUCCAGCAGCCACUACAGCUGGGCUUGUUGUCUGUUCAGCAAAUUCACCCAGGACCCAGGCUCUUUCUAGCCUUAGGAGAUCCUCAGCUUUUGGGUUUUUCUCCUUGUGAUUGUGCCUCGUGGUCAUAAGACUGCUGCCACAGCUCCAAAUAGCAUAUUCACACUUAAGGCAGGAGAGAGCCGCCUGCGUCCUGAGACGAUGCCUGGGCACCAACACGCUGAGAAACGUCGGGAAGGAGCCUGUGGGCACUGGGAUCGAAGCCAAAGGCUCAGAGCGCAAAUGGUGCCUGUGGCACGCACGGCACUGAGCUGCAGGUGACGGCUCGUUUUCUACGCGUGAGAACGUGAGAACCUUCCUGUCCUCUCUGGAAUAAUGGCAACUCCACGGCCACCAGAGCAGUGGUGAUCUGUCAGCUGCCCUGCAUCGAGGGCCGCGCGGGGACAGUCGAGACGGGCUCCGCUCCUCCUGCACCCUCACCCGCGCUCCACCCCGGGGGGGUGUCUGCGCCUGCCCCUGCCGGUGGGAGGAGCCGAGGAGCUCAGAACACCCGCAGUACUGCGCGGACCCCAAGGUUGCCACCCGUUCCAUCUCUCUGAUCUUUGUUGGCAGACAAACAAACCAAUUUCAAAGCCUGUGACUGGGGAAUGACAAACAAGGCUGAGGAGCCGUCCUGCCUGGGCUCAUUGCUGCCCAGCUGCCACUGGGAGGCGGUGUGGCCCCAGGGCAGGGGCUGUGCCGCUCUGGAGGCCCUGGGAUUCCUCCUUGGCCUCAAGGUGGAGGGCAGGUCAGGUUGUUCCGGAGCCUCGGCUUGCCCACCUGUAAAGUGGACAUGGUCAUUCUUGCCAGGCUCACACAAGGCUGUUUGAGGACCAAUUAAGGAAAUGGUGACACAUCAGGAAGGUGGGUGCUGCUCACCAUGCUGAGUGACCUCCUACUGUGUGCUGGGCACACGGCUGGGGAUUGCCAACUGUCCCCUCCCUGCAGAGUCCAGAAGACGGGACCUGAGCCACACUAUGUAGGAGAAAGGUCAGUCAGAGGAACACGGUUGUACAAGGAAGAAUCAUUUUUCUGGUGAAGUCUAUGGACAGAUUUGGGGAGAAGGUAAUGAAUGACACCAAGUGUGCCCAGUGGUUCCCCUUCCAGAGCAUCAUGUGACUGACACACCUGCUCAUGCAAAUGACCUGAGUGCAAGGCUGUUCACCCAGAAGGGUGUGUAAUUGUGCAGGUCAGAAGUCCCAAAAUAUCUGCUUGAAUAAACAGGCUACAUGAAGAAUAAGGAAAAGAUCUCUGUGAGCCAAUGUGGAAAGAUUACCAAGAGAUACUAAGUAAGGAAAAAAAAAACUGGCCAAAACAGUACAAAAAAAGCAAGGAAGACUAUCUAUAGAAUAUACCUAUUUAUAUGUGAGAGAAUGUUCUAAAACUGGUUAUCACAGACUAGCACCUUUAGUUGUCUCCAAGGAAGGAAAACUGGGAGAUAGGGGUAGGAAUAUCAUUGCAAAUCCUUUGUGUCCUUUGAUUUUGGGGCCAUUUAAAUGUAAUAUCUAUGAAAGAGAGAGAGAAUAAAGACAAAGGAGGAAGAGGGAGAGAGUGGGACUCCAGAAUCAGACGUAAGAAUUCCAGCUGUUCACCCAGAAGGGUGUGUGAUUGUGCAGGUCCACCACUUCCCAGCUAUGUGACCUUGCCCGAGUUACUCAACCUCUCUGAGACUCAGCCUGGGCCUGAAAGAGGCAUGAUAAUAUCAUGAUGCCUCCAAUCUACCUGGUCUGUCCGGAGUUAGAGACUAACGAGUUUCAAGCACUAAGUUGAACGUGAUUAUUGUAGCAGUCAUGGCUUCCCACUCUCCAGAUCAGCUUCCAGACUCCCUGGAGGACAUGCUGCUUAGUCACAGGGAAUGUCACCGGCACCCAGCCCUUGGGAAUCCCAUGCUGCAGGUUACCAGGUCACAGCUGAGUUGGGAAGGGGCACUUGUCUGAGUCACGUGCCACCCCCCAGCAUGCUGUCUCCUAGAGCAAACACCCCGGACUAGCUACUGAGCUCUCUGGUAGGGGGUCCAGUUCUGCUGAACCCCACAGCCCUUUGUCCUGGGCUGCACCUCCCCAGGCAGAUGAAAACAGCAGUUGUCAAGUAUGGCUGUCAAGUUCAGGUAGGAGAGGGCUUCUGAACUGCUGGCACCAUGGCGAAGCCUGGGCCCACCCUGGACCCCAUUCUGCCCACGGAGCUCUCCAAGAGGGAGCCCCAGAGGCACCCAGGGCUCUAAGCCCACAUCCUUUACCCAGUACAUCUUCCCAAGCACAUCCCAACCUUUCCACCCUCACUCUCCUGAGUCUGGCUGCCUGGUGUCUUGUCCAAGGAUCCUCACUUCCCAAGCCCUUUCUCAUACUUGCUUCAGUGAUGCCUGACUUGACAGAAGCAGCUCAAAUAUCCCCUCCCCAAGGAACCCUCCAUCUGAGGCUCUGCUGGGCCUCCUCCAAGAGCCCUAGACCCUCCAGCUUCACCACAGCUUCCUAGAACUAGACCAGUCUUGGAUGACAAGGGAGCCAGCGCAUGAACAGAGUGGUUCAGUAGCAUUGGCCUGGUCCACUCCCAGCCCCAGAAAAGUAAGUGCUGUUGUCCUUUUCAUGGUGGGGAGAAGCUGAGACUCAGGGAGGGCUGAGAAUUCAGCCAAGGUGGCACAGCACAUAGGUGGGGGGCCAGGGCGUGUCCUACAUUUGGUUGUUUCUGCGCAUGUGCUGCCCCGGCCCCUUUGAGACUCAUCAUCUGAGAGAAAGGGGUGGGGGUGCAGGGCAAAUGGAACAGGGUGGCCCUGCAGAGAGCAGGUGGAUGAGGCUCCAACCCUGGGCUCCAGGAAUUAAAGAAAUUUGCUGAAAAUAAGCAGGCACAGGCCAUAGAAGAAAGCAAAUUGUCUUCCAUCUAAACGGCUCAAGAGGUUCCUGGUCCAGACCUGCCCACCCACACCUGGGGCGCAGGUGCACUUUGUUCUCCACACCCUCAGUCACAUGCCGCCCAAUGGUUAAAGAUUGGAGGCCACUCUGUGUCCAUUCAUAAGGAAUGGUGCAAUCAGUCAGGAGAAUGUCAUAUGAUGGCACCCUCUGCAGCCAAGAUGGGAGGAGGAAGUCCUCACGGCUCUGAUCAUUGCCAACAUGCAUUUGAAGUAAAAGAAAAUGCCAGGUGCGUAAUCGGGGAAAUGAAAACCAAAUCUGCACUUAAUGACGACUGACCUGGAUCCGUCUGGCAGGUUUAAAAGGUGAUUAAGGGGAACUCUUACCGCUGGCGGAUGUGUGGAAAGUCACCACCACUUUAGAAAACUGAUCCGCAGCAUCUACUGAAGUCACCUGUGCAUUCAUUCCCUAGGACCCUGCCCAGGACCCGGAGAAGUUCUGACUUAACCCUCACAAACACCAAGUGAGACAACUAGGCUCAUGCACACCACUGCUCCGCCUAGAAAUAGAAGCUCCAAAGCAAUUCAAAUGUGCUCCAACAAGAUGAUGGAAAUGAACCCCAGUGUCUCCAUACCAUGGAA